GUUCUUGUAGUUGAAAACAACAUCAGCUUUUCAAGCUGGGGGUCUAGGUUAGAGUCUUAGCAGGAAUA
rnacentral:tRNA from 1 species